rnacentral:rRNA from 1 species
CCUCUCUCGCGCGUUAGCGAAAGCAAGGGCCAUCGUGGUCGCUACGUGCUAUAUUGUGCACUGCGAACGAUGUAAAACAAACAAACGAUGGCCUCUUAUAUUUUGCAAACAAUCUAUCGCCAUGGCAUACAGGCCUGGCUCUGGUACGAGUCUCUAGCAGUCUCAAAACCAACCUUACAACUCUGAGGGGGGGAUCACUUGGCUUGGGGAUGCUAUGAAGACCAUAGCUAAGUGUGAGAAUGGCAGCGAGCCGUCGCUAUAUGCGCUGUCCUCUUCUUAUCACAUGUCGAAUGCACAUUGCGCCCCACCCAGCGGUCGGCUAACCUCCUGCAGACAAAAGCCUGUGUGCUUGGAGCAAAGGUUGAUGUGUGGCCCUCGAGCAACGGCGGGGGAGCCAGGAGCACAUUGACGUGCGUUCCAGCCACUCGUGAGUAGUCAGGCUGAACCCCAUGGUGGGGCACUCCUAGUCGAGUGUGGUGGAUCGGGCUCAUCUCCUAUUGCGCUUUAUCGCGAAGGAGCUUGAGUUUCUUUGUUGCUGGUGGCUAUUUUGGUCGACAUCAGUCGUGCCUGUAAAAACCUGCCUUGGCUCGUGCCUCUGUGCGUUUAACUUACGCGGUUGCGCAUAUCGAAAGGCCAUAGCUGGCGAUCACUUGUGCGGCCAGGGCUCCACCUUCGGUGGAGCGCAGAGGUCCAAAAGUUCGGAAUAUGUUAACGUUCGAGAGUCGGGUCUGUUUCUCAGUCUCGCUAAUGCACAGAGAGUGGUGAACGAUACUUAUACGAAUUUAUCACCCUCGCCCUCCCUACCACGCGCUUGUCCGGCCAAGGCUCGUUUCUCUUACUAUCCGAGAACGACACACGAGACCUACAUCUUUCAUUCACACUUGGUUGUUCGACAAACGCCUGACGAGUUCAGGAAGGAUUUUCCGAGUGUGGAUGGAGGUAACGGAUUUGACGCGCAGUAUCGCACCACUCCCUUCACUGUGUGUCAGCGUUGAGACGAGGGAGAUCCGCCAUCUCGAUUUUCCAUAUGUAUGCCACCACCUCGACUUAGGAGAGGAUACCCGCUGAACUUAAGCAUAUCAGUAAGCGGAGGAAAAGAAACCAAUCAGGGAUUCCCUUAGUAGGGGCGACCGAAAAGGGAUGAGCCCAGCGCAGAACCUCCCGGGCCACCCGGCCUGCGGCGGAAUGUUGCGUUAAGGGAAAGGUCGUAGUCAAACCCCACAGCCACGCGAGCACUAAGUAAGUCACGAAUUGGCUAUCCCAACUAACGGAGGGAGCAUCUCCACGGAGGGUGUCAGACCCGUGUGGGCGCGUGUAAAUGCUGUGUGGGCUCGGCCUCUUUUCCCUGAGAGUCGCGUUGCUUGAGCAUGCAGCGCUAAGCAGGUCGUAAACUCGAUCUAAGGCUAAAUAUGUCCACAAGACCGAUAGUGAACAAGUACCGUGAGGGAAAGUUGAAAAGCACUCUGAAGAGAGAGUCAAAAGACCGUGAAACCGCUC